AUUGAACGCUGGCGGCAGGCCUAACACAUGCAAGUCGAACGAGCGGCGGACGGGUGAGUAAUGUCUGGGAAACUGCCUGAUGGAGGGGGAUAACUACUGGAAACGGUAGCUAAUACCGCAUACCAUCAGAUGUGCCCAGAUGGGAUUAGCUAGUAGGUGGGGUAAUGGCUCACCUCGGCGACGAUCCCUAGCUGGUCUGAGAGGAUGACAAGCCACACUGGAACUGAGACACGGUCCAGACUCCUACGUGAGGAAGCAGUGGUGAAGAUUGCACAAUGUGCGCAAGCCUGAUGCAGCCAUGCCGCGUGUGUGAAGAAGGCCUUCGGGUUGUAAAGCACUUUCAGCGAGGAGGCGUUACCCGCAGAAGAAGCACCGGCUAACUCCGUGCCAGCAGCCGCGGUAAUAC
rnacentral:rRNA from 1 species